UACGUAGGGUGCGAGCGUUAAUCGGAAUUACUGGGCGUAAAGCGUGCGUAGGUGGUUCGUUAAGUCUGAUGUGAAAGCCCCGGGCUCAACCUGGGAACUGCAUUGGAUACUGGCGAUCUGGAGUGCGGUAGAGGGUGGCGGAAUUCCCGGUGUAGCAGUGAAAUGCGUAGAUAUCGGGAGGAACAUCCGUGGCGAAGGCGGCCACCUGGACCAGCACUGACACUGAGGCACGAAAGCGUGGGGAGCAAACAGG
rnacentral:rRNA from 1 species